UGGGGAAUUUUGGACAAUGGGCGAAAGCCUGAUCCAGCCAUACCGCGUGCGGGAAGAAGGCCUUCGGGUUGUAAACCGCUUUUGUCAGGGAAGAAAUCCUUUGGGUUAAUACCUCGGAGGGAUGACGGUACCUGAAGAAUAAGCACCGGCUAACUACGUGCCAGCAGCCGCGGUAAUACGUAGGGUGCAAGCGUUAAUCGGAAUUACUGGGCGUAAAGCGUGCGCAGGCGGUUCUAUAAGACAGAUGUGAAAUCCCCGGGCUCAACCUGGGAACUGCAUUUGUGACUGUAGAGCUAGAGUACGGUAGAGGGGGAUGGAAUUCCGCGUGUAGCAGUGAAAUGCGUAGAUAUGCGGAGGAACACCGAUGGCGAAGGCAAUCCCCUGGACCUGUACUGACGCUCAUGCACGAAAGCGUGGGGAGCAAACAGGAUUAGAUACCCUGGUAGUCCACGCCCUAAACGAUGUCAACUGGUUGUUGGGAGGGUUUCUUCUCAGUAACGAAGCUAACGCGUGAAGUUGACCGCCUGGGGAGUACGGCCGCAAGGUUG
rnacentral:rRNA from 1 species